UGUCACGCUCUCGUCUCUUUCUCCCUCGCGAACGGCGCUGACACCUUCUAUCAUCUCCGAUCAAAAUCUCGCCGUAGUUCCAUCGUCUAAUUGAAACAUACAACCACACCUACCCCUCUCGCCGCCUAGCCCUCUUUCCAUUUUACACAGACUUCAAAUCAAAUCCCCAAAUCCCUUAAUACGAAACCUAACUUAAUCUCACAGCAAAUUAUAAGCGCGGUAGAGAAGAAAAGAUGAAGAUAGACCCUCUUACCUGAGGUGUUGAAGGAGGGAGAAGAUUGAGAAUACCAGAGGUGAGAUUCCACUUGGCGAAAUAAACGCGAGACCACAAUAAAGGUAUCCAGGUGAAUCUCUUUGAUUUUUCUAUUUUUAAAGUCUUCCUCUUCUUCCCAAUUCUUUGUUUUCCACUUUGAGCUUCUUGCGUGUGCUAUUAUGAUAAUGGUGAUGAACGUCAUGACAGGAUGAAGAUGUUACAGCUGAUUGAAGAAUUGAAUUGUGAUCGGAGAUGAAGUUGGAAAUUCGGUGAUGAUUUAAGCAUUGUAGUGAUGUUGAAAAUCGUGAAAGAUGAAAUGGAGAUUGAAGUGGAGACUGGAGGAAUUGGAGAAUCGAAGUUUGAAGAUUGAUUUUCUGAGAGAGAGAGAGAGAGAGAGAGAGUGAAGAGAAGAAUGUGAAGAUUGGUUUUCUGAAGUGGAGAUUGAAGGAAUUGGAUAAUCGAAGUUUGAAGAUUGAUUUUCUGAGAGAGAGAGAGUGCAAAGAAGAAUGUGAAGAAAUGGAGAUGAUGAUGAAUGAAGGUGAGAAAAAAUGGUGGGAGAGAAGAUGAUAUGGAGGGAAGAGAGAUUAUAUAAGAGUGGAUGAAGCUGAGAAUUCAGUUACAGGGCUUAUGGUUACUGGAUUAGUUUUGGCAGAAGCAAGUUGAAUGCGGGUCGGGACUGAUGAUAGUCGAGGCUGCCUGAUGUUGAACUUGGAGCGGUAAUGACACGAAAUGAAUGUUGAGAUGGAGCUUGUUCCUUGAAACUACUUUGGAUUACCUCUGCCCUUUUAAAUUCUGGUUCAAAGCUAACUGAUUUUGGACAUGGAUAAGUAGCAAGGAUAUGGAGGAGAUUGAAGCUUGGCGGAAGCAUGAAGAUGUGAUCAUGAUGAAGUGUAGGAUUAGGAUUAGGAUUAGCAUGUAUCUACAUAUAAUUUUCUUGAUGUAAUGUGAUAAUAAUAUUUGCAAUGACUUUGGAUUCUAAGCAUAUUCCCUUGGCUGA